UACGGGGGGCAAGCGUUGUUCGGAAUUACUGGGCGUAAAGGGCGCGUAGGCGGCUCAAUCAGUCGGGCGUGAAAGCUCUGGGCUUUAACCCAGAAAAAGUCGUCGAUACUGUUUGGGCUAGAGUGUGGAAGAGGCUACUGGAAUUCCGUGUGUAGCGGUGAAAAUGCGUAGAGAUCCGGAGGAACACCAGUGGCGAAGGCGCACGCUGGGCCGUACCUGACGCUAAAAGCGCGACAGCAUGGGGGAGCAAACGGG
rnacentral:rRNA from 1 species